AGGGUAUACGAGUAGCUGCGCUCCCCUGCUAGAACCUCCAAACAAGCUCUCAAGGAUGAAAAAUGGAAAUUCAUAGGACCAAGAAGUGACAAUGCUGGAGAGACAGU
rnacentral:sRNA from 1 species